CCCGGUAAGGGCAAAGGCAGGAUUUGACCCCAGACUGGCCGGCUCCAGAACCCUUUCUUGUACGUGCUGCCUGUGAUGGCCUUGAUGAAGGCUUUGUGAAGGAGGGCUGUAGCCGUGGCCAGGAAGAAAACCGCCCCCUCUGAAGGUUGUUUUUAUGACUGUUCUUUGGAGCAUUGUUCUAAAAAUGGGAAAUUACAGAUCGCUGUGCCAAAGGAAACAAACACCUGCAGUUGAAGGAAUGCCUUCCACGAGGUGGCUUUGGAGCUCCGGCCGGUGCAGGACACACAGCUGCGCAGAAGUUCCCUUGGUAUCUUUCUUCAUCCUCAAGGAGAUUGGGUGCAGGCUUACAUUUGUAACCGGGGUGGGCUUGGCAACUAGGGGACUCUGGUGAUCGUUCUUAACUUACAUACUCAAUAAACAUCCCUGAAGCAUC